rnacentral:rRNA from 1 species
UACGAAGGGGGCUAGCGUUGCUCGGAAUCACUGGGCGUAAAGGGUGCGUAGGCGGGUCUUUAAGUCAGGUGUGAAAGGUCUCGGCUAAACCGAGAAAGGUCACUUGAAACUGGCAGACUAGAGUGAGAUAGAGGUUAACGGAAUUCCCGGUGUAGUGGUGAAAUGCGUAGAGAUCGGGAGGAACACCAGAGGCGAAAGCGGUUAACUGGGUCUAAACUGACGCUGAGGCGCGAAGGCUAGGGGAGCAAACAGG